CACCAGACCCUCUCUUUCUCUACUCUCUUGUCCGGCCAACCUUUUGUGUUUACCUUUGCUUUUAAAUCCAAUAGCAUCCUAUACACAGAUAUAUAUAGACAUGUAUAGAAGUUUGUAGAUAGAUCUUCGAGAAUUGUCCUCUUUAAAUUCGCAACCACUUCGGAGACAUUCUCUCUCAUCCACCCCCUCAUCUCCUCUCUCCGUUUCUAGGGUUUCCCUUUUUCUUUGUUCAACCAGGUGUUGCCGUCAUUUUGGCGUCUAUUUUUGUUGUUUUUGUCAAAACUUGUGAGGUCUGUAUUCGGUUCAGCUGAAAUGAGUGUGGUGGGAUUUGAUAUUGGAAACGAGAACUGUGUGAUUGCUGUUGUAAAGCAGCGGGGGAUUGAUGUUUUGUUGAAUGAUGAAUCGAACCGCGAAACACCCGCUGUGGUGUCAUUUGGUGAGAAUCAAAGGUUCUUGGGUGCAGCAGGGGCUGCAUCUGCAACCAUGAACCCGAAAUCGACAAUCUCUCAGGUGAAGAGAUUGAUUGGUAGACAGUUCAGGGAACCUGAUGUCCAGGAUGACCUUAGGCGGUUCCCUUUCGAGACCUCAGAGGGUCCUGACGGUGGCAUUUUAAUACAUUUACGUUAUUUGAAUGAGAAACAUACUUUUACCCCGGUUCAGAUUUUGGCAAUGUUGUUUGCACAUUUAAAGCAGAUUGCUGAGAAAAAUAUUGAGAUAGCCAUUUCAGAUUGUGUAAUCGGGAUACCAUCAUACUUUACGGAUUUGCAAAGACGUAUGUAUUUGAAUGCCGCGGAGAUUGCUGGGCUGAAGCCACUAAGAUUGCUGCAUGACUGUACUGCUACUGCACUUGGCUAUGGCAUUUACAAGACUGACUUCUCCAAUGCAGGCCCAACUCAUGUUGUGUUUGUCGACAUUGGCCAUUGUGAUACACAGGUGGCUGUUGCAUCAUUUGAAUCUGGACAUAUGAAGAUACUAUCCCAUGCUUUUGAUAGGAACUUGGGCGGGAGAGACUUUGAUGAGGUUUUAUUCAGAUAUUUUGCAGCACAAUUCAAGGAACAGUACAAUAUUGAUGUUUAUUCUAAUGCAAGGGCUUCUAUUAGGCUUAGGGCGGCUUGUGAGAAAUUGAAAAAAGUCCUGAGUGCAAAUGCGGAGGCACCACUUAAUAUCGAAUGCUUGAUGGAUGAGAAAGAUGUUAGAGGUUAUAUUAAAAGGGAGGAUUUUGAGAAGCUGUCGUCAGACUUGUUGGAGAGGAUUAGUAUUCCUUGUCGUAAGGCUUUGGCUGAUUGUGGUCUGAGUACAGAGAAGAUUCAUAUUGUUGAGCUUGUUGGAUCAGGAUCUCGGAUACCAGCUAUUACAAGGAUUUUAACUACUAUUUUCAGGAAAGAACCCAGCCGGACUAUAAAUGCAAGUGAGUGCGUGGCUCGUGGUUGUGCUCUUCAAUGCGCAAUGCUUAGCCCAAUAUUCCGCGUCAGGGAGUAUGAGGUCCAGGAUUCAUUUCCUUUCUCCAUCGGAUUUUCGUCAGAUGGAGGUCCAAUCUGCACGCUAUCAAAUGGCAUCUUGUUUCCAAGAGGCCAUCCAUUUCCAAGUGUUAAAAUGCUUACAUUGCAUAGAAAUAAUACGUUCCAAUUGGAAGCCUUCUAUGCUGAUCAGAAUGAAUUGCCUUCCGGUGUAUCGCCUAAAAUUAGCAGUUUUACGAUUGGCCCAUUCCAAGUUCCCCAUACGGAAAAAGUGAAGGUCAAAGUUAAAGUUCAGCUAAAUCUCCAUGGAAUUGUUACUGUAGAGUCAGCCUCACUUUUAGAAGAUCACAGGGACGAUUCUAUUUCGAGGAGCAAUGCUCACUUGUCUUCAGAGAAGUCAGAAGCUGGCAAUCAUGGUUCUUCUGAUGUAUCAAAUAAUGUUGAAGCUACCCAUUUUGCACAAUCCAGUGCUUCAUCGACAUCCACUGCUGAUUCAAUGAGAAAGGACAAGGCCGUCCAGAGACAGGACGUACCAGUUAGUGAGAGUGUUUUUGGUGGAAUGACAAAGGAUGAGCUCGUACAAGCUCUAGAGAAAGAACUUCAGUUGGCCCAGCAAGACAUAAAGAUAGAGCAGAUUAAGGAUAAAAAGAACACCUUGGAGUCUUAUGUCUACGACACGCGCAAUAAGCUCUUGAAUACGUACCGAAGCUUUGCCACUGAAUCAGAGAGGGAGGGGAUUUCUAGGAAUCUACAGCAGACAGAGGAAUGGCUCUAUGAUGAUGAAGAUUAUGAAUCUGAACAUGUUUAUAAUGAGAAACUGAAUGAUCUUAAAAAGUUGGUGGAUCCUAUUGAGAACCGAUACAAGGAUGAAGAGUCUCGUCCACAAGCAACAAGGGCUCUAUUAAAUUGUAUUGUGGAACAUCGGAUGGCUGUAGGAUCACUUUCAGCCAUUGAGAGAGACGCGGUUUUUCAUGAAUGCAAUAAAGCAGAGCAGUGGCUGAGAGAAAAAACCCAGCAACAGGAUUCAUUACCCAAAACUGCUGACCCAAUACUAUGGUCAAGUGAUAUCAAGAGAAAAACUGAGGCUCUUGACGCGAUGUGCAAACAUAUAAUGAGACCCAAGGCUUCACCCACAAAACCAGAGGACAGCGUGGACUCAGGGCAGAGAAGCAAGCAGGAUGAGAUGCGAGUAGAUUGAUGUACAUAGAUCUACAGAGACCUGUGACAUGAAGGAUUUUGAAUUCGGAAACAAUCAGAUCAGAUUCAGUAGAUUGGUGUGGACUUUGCUCAAAUUAGUAACCUAUUGAGUUAUCUUUUUCCUAUCAACAAAUGCAGAAUCUCAACAUUCUUCGGGAAGUUGCCACAGUUAUGCUUGGAACAAUUUGGCUCGGAGCCUGUGCUAGUGAAUUGAGUGUUUGCUAUAUUCUUAUUGUUGGUAUAAACAGUUGUUUAACAUUUAUACAGAAUAUGUAAGCAUUCAAGUAUAAGGACUUGUCAUUAUGUCAUGUUGAUAUCAUGUUCAGUUAGUUCUUUCAUUAUGUCAUGUUGAUAUCAUGUUCAGUUAGUUCUUUCGAAAGCAUAUACCUUGAAGCUACAUGAAUGACUUAAACUUGAUAUAUUUGCUUAUUGGAUAGUUUCUCUUACAAUGUUGUCAUUAUUUAUUUUGGGAUGACAACAUAUAAUUUUCUGUGCAUGCAACAUCCAAUCGUAAAACCGCUUUUUCUAUUCAUCGAUCAUGACUUGUUUCUUUUGUGGUUUUAGUUUUUUAACGAGUAGUUGUUUCUCAUCUUGUU